rnacentral:rRNA from 1 species
AGCAUUGCAUAAUGAUCAAAAUAUUUUAUAGGACAAGGAUGGGGCAUGCGGGACAUUAGCUAGUUGGUAAGGUAAACGGGCUUACCCAAGGGCUACGAUGUUUUAGGGGAUGAGAGGGAUGACCCCCCCCCACACUGGUACUGAGACACGGGACCCAGACUCCUACGGAGGCAGCAGUAAAGGGAAAUAUUGGGUCAAAUGGGACGGAAAGUUCUGAAACCCAGCCUGCCGCGUGCCAGGAAAGACGGGCCCUUACGGGGUUGUUAAACUGCUUUUGCCAGGGGAUAAACCCUUUCUUAUGUAUAGAAAGGGCUGAAAUGUUACUCUGAGAAAUUAAGGAUUGGCUUAACUCCGUGCCCAGCAGCCCGCGGUUAAUACGGGAGGGGUUCCGAAGCGUUUUCGGAUUUUAUUGGGGUUUUAAAAGGGUGGCGUUAGGUGGUUUUUUUUAAGUCAAAAGUGGGACGGCAGCUUAACUGUCGCGAGUGCCCCUGAUACUGAGGAAACUUGAGUGAACUA